GAUGAACGCUGACAGAAUGCUUAACACAUCAGCAAUGGAUUGGUGGCGGACGGGUGAGUAACGCGUAAAGAACUUGCCUCACAGCUAGGGACAACAUUUGGAAACGAAUGCUAAUACCAAAUACUGUGAGAGAGCUUUGCGUCCCAUUAGAGCGUUGGAGAGGUAACGGCUCACCUAGGCGAUGAUGGGUAGCCGGCCUGAGAGGGGGAUCGGCCACAAGGGGACUGGGACACGGCCCUUACUCCUACUUGAGGCAGCAGUGGGGACUAUUGGACAAUGGACCAAAGUCUGAUCCAGCAAUUCUGUGUGCACGAUGAAUUUUUCGGAAUGUAAAGUGCUUUCAGUUGGGAAGCGGUACCAACAGAAGAAGUGCCGGCUAAAUACGUGCCAGCCGCCGCGGUAAUAC
rnacentral:rRNA from 1 species